GACGAACGCUGGCGGCGUGCCUAACACAUGCAAGUCGAACGGGACCAGGGGCAACUCUGGUUCAGUGGCGGACGGGUGCGUAACACGUGAGGAACAUGACCUUCGGCGGGGGAGUAGCCGGCCCAACGCCGGGUAAUACCGCGUACGACCAUUCGGGGACGAUCCCUGGAUGGUGAAAGACAGCAAUGCGCCGAUGGAGUGCCUCGCGGCCUAUCAGCUAGUUGGUGAGGUAACGGCNCACCAAGGCGACGACGGGUAGCUGGUCUGAGAGGAUGGCCAGCCACAUUGGGACUGAGACACGGCCCAGACUCCUACGGGAGGCAGCAGUGGGGAAUAUUGCGCAAUGGACGAAAGUCUGACGCAGCGACGCCCGCGUGUGGGAUGACGGUCUUCGGAUUAGUAAACCACUGUCGGGAGGGACGAAUACGCCGCAAGGCGGGUGACGGUACCUCCAAAGGAGCACCGGCUAACUCCGUGCCAGCCGCCGCCGU
rnacentral:rRNA from 1 species